CCCCUAGAUGUCCUGGGCCGCACGCGCAAUACAAUGUAAAGUUCAGAAAGCAUAUCCUGUUCCGGAAGGCAAUGGGUAAUCUUUUCUAUAUUUUACGUGUUAGGGAUCGAUCUUUGCAAUUAUAGAUCUUGAACGAGGAAUACCUAGUAAGUGCAGCUCAUCAGGCUGUACUGAUUACGUCCCUGCCCUUUGUACACACCGCCCGUCGCUCCUACCGAUUUCGAGUGGUCCGGUGAAUCUUUUGGAAUUAGAGUGCAAACUCAAACUAAGAUCGAUAAACCUUAUCACUUAGAGGAAGGAGAAGUCGUAACA
rnacentral:rRNA from 1 species